rnacentral:rRNA from 1 species
UGGGGAAUAUUGGACAAUGGGCGCAAGCCUGAUCCAGCCAUGCCGCGUGAGUGACGAAGGCCUUAGGGUUGUAAAGCUCUUUUGGCGGGGAAGAUAAUGACGGUACCCGCAGAAUAAGCUCCGGCUAACUUCGUGCCAGCAGCCGCGGUAAUACGAAGGGAGCUAGCGUUGUUCGGAAUCACUGGGCGUAAAGCGCACGUAGGCGGACUUUCAAGUCAGGGGUGAAAUCCCGGGGCUCAACCUCGGAACUGCCUUUGAUACUGUUGGUCUCGAGUCCGGAAGAGGUGAGUAGAAUUCCUAGUGUAGAGGUGAAAGUCGUAGAUAUUAGGAAGAACACCGGUGGCGAAGGCGGCUCACUGGUCCGGUACUGACGCUGAGGUGCGAAAGCGUGGGGAGCAAACA